GACGAACGCUGGCGGCGUGCUUAACACAUGCAAGUCGAACGGAAAGGCCCUGCUUUUGUGGGGUGCUCGAGUGGCGAACGGGUGAGUAACACGUGAGUAACCUGCCCUUGACUUUGGGAUAACUUCAGGAAACUGGGGCUAAUACCGGAUAGGAGCUCCUGCUGCAUGGUGGGGGUUGGAAAGUUUCGGCGGCUGGGGAUGGACUCGCGGCUUAUCAGCUUGUUGGUGGGGUAGUGGCUUACCAAGGCUUUGACGGGUAGCCGGCCUGAGAGGGUGACCGGUCACAUUGGGACUGAGAUACGGCCCAGACUCCUACGGGAGGCAGCAGUGGGGAAUAUUGCACAAUGGGCGGAAGCCUGAUGCAGCAACGCCGCGUGCGGGAUGACGGCCUUCGGGUUGUAAACCGCUUUCGCCUGUGACGAAGCGUGAGUGACGGUAAUGGGUAAAGAAGCACCGGCUAACUACGUG
rnacentral:rRNA from 1 species